rnacentral:rRNA from 1 species
AGGGUGCAAACGUUGUUCGGAAUUACUGGGCGUAAAGCGAGUGUAGGCGGUGUGGUAAGUCGGAUGUGAAAGCCCCGGGCUCAACCCGGGAAGUGCACUCGAUACUGCCACGCUAGAGUAUCGGAGAGGUUGGUGGAAUUCUCGGUGUAGAGGUGAAAUUCGUAGAUAUCGAGAGGAACACCGGUGGCGAAGGCGGCCAACUGGACGAAUACUGACGCUGAGACUCGAAAGCGUGGGGAGCAAACAGG